GGGUAGCGGAACACGUACGCAACCUUCCUUAACUGGAGAAUAGCCCCUCGAAAGAGGGAUUAAUACUCCGUAACAUAUUGAUAAGGCAUCUUAUUAAUAUUAUAGCUCCGGCGGUUAAAGAUGGGCGUGCGCCUGAUUAGAUAGUUGGCGGGGUAACGGCCCACCAAGUCUGCGAUCAGUAACUGGUGUGAGAGCACGACCAGUCACACGGGCACUGAGACACGGGCCCG
rnacentral:rRNA from 1 species